CCUGGGGCCUGGAGAGGCGGGUGGCCCCGAGGUGCAUUGCGGUUGCAUUGCACGUGUGUGCGCCAGGUGCAGUGCUUCGGCAGUGCAGCCCGGGGCCAGCCCCUGGCGCCGAGUCCCCGCC
rnacentral:pre_miRNA from 15 species